rnacentral:rRNA from 1 species
AGAGGGUGCGAGCGUUAAUCGGAAUUACUGGGCGUAAAGAGCACGUAGGUGGACGUGUAAGUUGGUUGUGAAAUUCCCGGGCUUAACCUGGGGUGGUCAAUCAAAACUGCACAUCUAGAGUAUGGUAGAGGGUAGUGGAAUUUCCGGUGUAGCGGUGAAAUGCGUAGAUAUCGGAAGGAACACCAGUGGCGAAGGCGGCUACCUGGACUAAUACUGACACUGAGGUGCGAAAGCGUGGGUAGCAAACAGGAUUAGAUACCCUGGUAGUCCACGCUGUAAACGAUGAAGACUAGCCCGUUGGGACCCGCGAGGUCAAAGUGGCGCAGCUAACGCGAUAAGUUUUCCGCCUGGGGGAGUACGGCCGCAAGGUUA